GCUUGUCUCAAAGAUUAAGCCAUGCAUGUCUAAGUAUAACUCUUUUACUUUGAAAACUGCGAACGGCUCAUUAUAUCAGUUAUAGUUUCUUUGAUAGUCCCUUACUACUUGGAUACCCGUAGUAAUUCUAGAGCUAAUACAUGCGUAAAUACCCAACUGCUUGUCGGACGGGUAGCAUUUAUUAGAUUGAAACCAAUGCAGCUUCGGCUGGUAUUGUGUUGAGUCAUAAUAACUGUGCGGAUCGCUUUUUAAGCGAUAAAUCGAUUGAGUUUCUGCCCUAUCAGCUUUGGAUGGUAGGAUAUGGGCCUACCAUGGCGUUAACGGGUAACGGGGAAUUAGGGUUUGAUUCCGGAGAGGGAGCCUUAGAAACGGCUACCACAUCCAAGGAAGGCAGCAGG
rnacentral:rRNA from 1 species